UUUUAUGGAGAGUUUGAUCCUGGCUCAGGAUGAACGCUGGCGGCGUGCCUAAUACAUGCAAGUCGAGCGAACAGAUGAGGAGCUUGCUCCUCUGACGUUAGCGGCGGACGGGUGAGUAACACGUGGAUAACCUACCUAUAAGACUGGGAUAACUACGGGAAACCGGAGCUAAUACCGGAUAAUA
rnacentral:rRNA from 1 species